AACGACGAAGAACCUUACCAGCUUGACAUUGGGGUAUGGUGCAUUAGGAGACGAUGCUAGUUAGGCUGGCCCCAGAACAGGUGCUGCAUGGCUGGAGCGUGGUGAGAUGUUGGGUUAAGCCGCAACGAGCGCAACCCGCCCCUAGUUGCCAGCAUUUAGUUGGGCACUAAGGGGACUGCCGGUGAUAAGCCGAGAGGAAGGUGGGGAUGACGAAGCAUGGCCCUUAUGGGCUGGGCUACACACGUGCUACAAUGGUGGUGACAGUGGGCAGCGAGACAGCGAUGGAGCUAACAAAAGCCAAGUGGAUUGCACUGCAACGAGUGCAUGAAGUUGGAAGCUAGUAAGCAGAAGCAUGCUGCGGUGAAUACGUCCGGGUUGUACACACCG
rnacentral:rRNA from 1 species